ACAGGUCCUGGAAACCAGAGCAGGUGACCAAGGAUAGAUAUCAUGGACACAUCUACAGUGAUAGGACUAUGAGUUACAGGAUAAAAUUAUAUUUCUUAGCAUUCAGAGAUAAUGAUAGUAAAAAGAGAUGGUGGUUAGAAAAUGUGAAUAUUCAAGUAGCAUUAAGGAGAAAAGUGGUGACUGGAAACAAUUACCAGACCUCUUGCAUGAAGAGAAAGGGGUGAAACACAAGAUCACAGGAAGGGCAACAGUUGCUUAAAUGCAAUGGUUAGAGGAAUUAUUAAAUAAUCCUUUAUGCUAACACUAAAAUCACCAAGAACUAUAGCGGGAAUUGUAUGGGAGACAGAACACCACAAGUGGUCCAUCUGGGAAAUAAAGGCAGGGCCAGCCCACUCAGCUCUUCUCAUCAUUUCACCAUGAGGAUGAACGGAGACUUUUAUCGCUUGGCAUCAAAACCAGUCAAGAUGUGAAAGGUUAUCAAUGGUGGACAUAGUUUAAGUGGAUGAGACAAAAUUUUCAGUCAAGGAAACAUUAGUGGGGAAUAAAAGUGGAAAUUCCUGUAAAUCGUUACUUUAUUAACAAUAACACCUUAAUUAUUUUUUGUCUAUGUUGCAUUUGGCAAUUUCAAAAUCAUUUCACUCUGCUUACCUCUGACCCUUACAGCAACUCUGCAGAGAGUUGGAGACAGUAUUAUUAUCAUGGGACAAGAAUGAGACGUUAAGAUUUUAAAAGUCUAGAUCGGAGACUUAGAACUAUUAAGCAAAUGACAAGUCCCAGAAAUACGAUACAGAUUGCUCACUAGAGCCUCUGAUAUAAUCAGCCCAAGAAGAACACCAAACCAAAAGGAGCCACUUAGUAGAAAGAUUGGACACCAACUCUACAAGAGACAAAGAAAAACAUUAACACAGGUCGGGGGAGGCCAGUACCAGAACUGAUUCAGGGUUGUGAAUAGAGGACCUUAGAGUAGCGGGACUUCAGCAAACUUUUUAUCUGAAGGUAUUUAGAAAUAAGUUUUUUGUCUGUCUGACAGGUAAAUAAAGGAAACACACAUGCUU